GACGAACGCUGGCGACGUGCUUAACACAUGCAAGUCGAACGGAAAGGCCUCUUUCGGGGGGUACUCGAGUGGCGAACGGGUGAGUAACACGUGAGUAACCUGCCCUUGACUUUGGGAUAACUUCAGGAAACUGGGGCUAAUACCGGAUAGGAGCUCCUGCUGCAUGGUGGGGGUUGGAAAGUUUCGGCGGUUGGGGAUGGACUCGCGGCUUAUCAGCUUGUUGGUGGGGUAGUGGCUUACCAAGGCUUUGACGGGUAGCCGGCCUGAGAGGGUGACCGGCCACAUUGGGACUGAGAUACGGCCCAGACUCCUACGGGAGGCAGCAGUGGGGAAUAUUGCACAAUGGGUGGAAGCCUGAUGCAGCAACGCCGUGUGCGGGAUGACGGCCUUCGGGUUGUAAACCGCUUUCGCUCAUGACGAAGCUUUGUGUGACGGUAGUGGGUAAAGAAGCACCGGCUAACUACGUG
rnacentral:rRNA from 1 species